ensembl:lncRNA LINC01718 long intergenic non-protein coding RNA 1718
GCAUCUCACACCCACUACUUACGCGCCAGGCGCCUCUUUGGACGCCACUCCACAGCCUCGUGUGUUAAGAGGCACACAAGAGCUGCCUGAUUGGCCCCCAAGCUGAGAACCGGGAGCCGGAGGAAAUCAUAGCGAAAUCUCAACCUGAUGUAGCCCCAUCAGCAUCACACACACACUCAGAGCAAAAUGGCCUGCUCUUCAAUGUAGCUUAGUUUAGUUCAAUUGUCCUGCCCACCCCCUCCUGACCCUCCUGCCGCUGAGGGGUGGUAUUUGAAAGAACAGCUGCUUGCACAUGUAACAGCUUCCAGGAUAACCAAUGAGCUGGAACCAGUAAGAUGUGGCUGGGGAAGGGGGCUUCUCAUCUGUCAGCUGGGGAGCCUCAUGGGGCCUUACAUGGACUCAGCUUCUUACCAGUUCCAGAAGAGCACCCAAACGGCCCUGGGAUUUUCAACUCUGAAGCAUAAGGCAAGUUAAUGAAGCACCCAAUUCACACCAGCUUUUAUCUGUCAGAGAAACACCAGCAAGCAAGGUAGAGACAACAAGCCAAACCCUGAUGUGCAAGUAUGAACUUCAUGUUAAUUAGGAAUCGGAAGAAUGUGUGGGUUUCUCUAAUGCACUCAUCAUACGAAGCCAGCUGAUUCAAAUGCUCUCAACCUGAGCUUCGGGUCAUUUGUGUUAGCUGUAAGGCCAUCUGAGGCAGAUGCAUUGAACCUGACCUUGAGAGUAUCCUUGACCACUGGACCAAGAGGCCAGAGACUCUACAAGUGUGCUCAGGCCAGAUGGCUAACUCAACUAGUGCCUGGCAGGAAGACUCAAGAUGCCAGCUUCUCCCCUAAACCAUGUGAACAUUCAACCAUUUUAAACUAUAAAAACAGCAAUUUCAACCAAAA